UACGGAGGGUGCAAGCGUUAAUCGGAAUUACUGGGCGUAAAGCGCGCGUAGGCGGCUUAGUAAGUCGGAUGUGAAAGCCCCCGGGCUUAACCUGGGAACUGCAUUCGAUACUGCUGGGCUAGAGUAUGGAAGAGGGAAGUGGAAUUCCGGGUGUAGCGGUGAAAUGCGUAGAUAUCCGGAGGAACACCAGUGGCGAAGGCGACUUCCUGGGCCAAUACUGACGCUGAGGUGCGAAAAGCGUGGGGGAGCAAAACAGGAUUAGAUACCCCUGUAGUCC
rnacentral:rRNA from 1 species